AAGAUUUAAGGUUUAAGUUUCAUUUGAAGCAAUUCUAGUACCUUGAGAACUGGAUUACAAAUUGAAAACCCAUUUAGAAGAUAAAGCUUCACCACCCAAAUGCAAAACAAUCAACAAUUCCAUUUCAAUAUUUCAGACCAUCCUACAGAGGAAAACCGAGGAUCUUUCAGAAACCCUAGUGCGGCAGUAGUGUUGGCGAUUCUUGGAAAGAUUCCCCUCCCCUGCUUUCCAGAGCUCAGCUGAGCAGGUGUUCGGGCUUUAUCUGUUUCACUCAGUAGCCGCUGUUACUCCCCCAUCCCCGCCUCCCAAGAGCCAGUUUUCCAGCUUCCAGAUGUAAGGCCACUCCUCCCUCCCGCCCACCUCACCUCCCAAAGGAAGAAAAAUCUCUUUCAAAGAACUUGUAGAGAGUGGCAGCUUCCAAGCCCUGCCAAUUCGCUUACACUCCUCUAUGAUGUAGUACAUCUGCUGCUAAUUAUUAUAUCUGGGAGCACAUGAACUAGCCACUAAGUAGGGGGAUUUCCAUAGGAACCCAUUCCGUUCCC